AACGAACGCUGGCGGCAUGCCUAACACAUGCAAGUCGAACGAGACCUUCGGGUAUAGUGGCGCAAGGGUGCGUAACGCGUGGGAACCUGCCCUUAGGUUCGGAAUAACUCCCCGAAAGGGGGGCUAAUACCGGAUAAUGUCUUCGGACCAAAGAUUUAUCGCCUUUGGAUGGGCCGCGUUGGAUUAGCUAGUUGGUAGGGUAUAAGCCUACCAAGGCGACGAUCCAUAGCUGGUCUGAGAGGAUGAUCAGCCACACUGGGACUGAGACACGGCCCAGACUCCUACGGGAGGCAGCAGUGGGGAAUAUUGGACAAUGGGCGAAAGCCUGAUGCAGCAAUGCCGCGUGAGUGAUGAAGGCCUUAGGGUUGUAAAGCUCUUUUACCCGGGAUGAUAAUGACAGUACCGGGAUAAUAAGCUCCGGCUAACUCCGUG
rnacentral:rRNA from 1 species